rnacentral:tRNA from 1 species
GGGCUCAUACUCCAACCGGUAGAGAGAGAGGACUUAAACUCCUUCCAGUCUGGGUUCGAAUCCCAGUGGGCCCACCA